rnacentral:tRNA from 1 species
GGCCUCGUAGCUCAGUUGGCUAGAGCGUUGGCUAUACUAUAGCUUUCCCCUUUCUGGCGUGGGUUUGAAUCCCUAUGAGGCCA